UGAUAAUAAUUCAGUUCUGCUUUUAUAUUAGAUAUUAAUACAUUGAUAAAUGCUAUCGAUAAAAAUGAAAAUAUUGGUGAGAUGCAUAUCAAAGGCUGUAAUUUCCUGGAAAAUUCUGGAAUUUUAAUGACUAUAGCAUCUCCUUAUGGCAAAACCAAAAGGCAGCGUUGGACAGAAAAAGAAAAAGAAACAGUACUUCAAGCAUUUUCCACACAUAU